UACAUGGGAGAACCUCAGACUUAAAACAAAACAAACAAACAAAGAAAUAAGUAAAUAAUGAAAAAUAGACCAAAAAAAGAAAACAACUUCCCCUUUCCCCACUGGGUCUCUAUUUGUUUUAAUAUCAAUUUAGAGUCUUCUUAGAAAAAGAGUCACUUUUUCAGAAUUUCUAAAGCCUUAUACAGCGUCUUUUGAAUAGCUGCACCUUGAACUUCAAAGGAAUAGUCAAAGUGUUUGGUAUCCACUAAUUCCUGCAGGGCACAGGAUCCGUAAACUCUAGCACAACUCCACUCUGAGUCUUAAACCAACAGUAUGCGAAAAGAUCAAUAUGCAGAAAUUCAAAACUAAUCAGAUCCCUUCUUUAAAUGUUGACACAGUAUUAUUUAUACCCCCAUAAAUACAUUCUUGGCUAAAAUUCAUACUAGAAGCUUGGCACCUGGCCAGUUCUAUUAAUAUCUACUUAUUUAUACAGCACACUUGGCCAAGGAUAAUAUUUAAGACAAAGUAUGCCUGAGGGCAUAUACAAUAUCUCUUGUAUUUUCGGUUUUCAAUCUCCACAUUGCUAAAAAGAUUGAGUUUGAACUUUAUAAAACGUCCCACCAAGGGCUAUCAGCCGUCUGUAGUGAUAUAUAGUCACCAAGCAUAAUUAGGGCAUAUUUGUAAUACUUGAGUUGAAGUCACUCCCUGAACACUAAUAAGUUGGUGGAAAAAAAAAAAAAAAGAGGCGGCGAUCUUUCCCAUGACUUCUCUAUGGGCUUGUGACCCUCUUCAGAUUCACUGCAAGAUGUAACAGGCACAUGCGCUCCCUGUAUGCACCACAGUGGCAUAGAAGCCAGCCAGCCCUGCUCCUCCAAAUCUCCUUGCUUUAAAUACAAUGGAAUGAUUCUCUCUCCCUCUCCCUCUCCCUCUCCCUCUCCCUCUCCCUCUCCCUCUCCCUCUCCCUCUCCCUCUCCCUCUCCCUCUCCCUCUCCCUCUCCCUCUCCCUCUCCCUCUCCCUCUCCCUCUCCCUCUCCCUCUCCCUCUCCCUCUCUCUUCUGGAAGAACUCCCUAUAUCUAGAAAGUCCUGGAAAAUCAGUUAACCUACUUUCUAUAACAUUAUCCAUAGCCCCUGCUCAGUUGUGUUGAAUCCGCUGCUAUUAAUAUACCUUUCUACUCCUAAGCUUCUACACUGAACACAAUCUUCUUAAAUCUCUAGUUUUCACGUAAAAAUGAUAGUACAUGUGUGUAUGUGUGUGUGUGUGUGUGUGUGUGUGUGUAUAGUAUGUGUGUGUGUGUAUGUAUAGUGUGUGUGUGUGUGUAAGCAUACUUAGGUUUUCAUUUAAUCGGAGGUUCAGGAGUGGGAUACAGAAGAGUCCACAUAUCGAUGUUAUUGAUACCCUCACAUCCUCCAUAAAACCUGGGCGGUUCUUCUAACCUGCUCAUGACCUUGGUUCUGGGGUUGUCCCUUCUCUGCUCACCUUCAUCCAUUGGACUGAAGCACUUCCCCUGGUGGCCUGCUCCCUGCACACCUAUGCAAUGUGAGAUUGGAUCUUUGUCCUCUUUGCAGACUUCCUGACAGCUAAUCUGAGCUUUGGCAUGUAAACACCGAAGAAGGAGUUAUUCAGCCCCGGAUCACAUGCCUGUCUGUCAGCCCAAACAUCUGCAGAAUCAACACACGUAUGUGGGAGAAAACUAACUGAGUCAAGCCGUCCCUCAGCCCCAGUGGCUCUGGACUAAUUACAAUGAACUCCCUUCCCUAGCAUCACUGUGGCUCCACCCCAGAUAGAAAUCCUUAUUUCCCAGGAGCAAUAAACAGGGCGGACUGUACGCAUCCACUGUAGUGGAUAGGGCCGUAACUAUAAUAAUAAAACCGUCCUGCUGGCCAGGGUUCCCUGCAUCUGUUACGGCACUAAACAACAAGAGAACACUACAGGGUAAGAGAAGUGACCAGAAAGAGUGUGGUUAGACACAUGGGUAGACCAACGCUCUGAGGGCACCAAGUGCAAGACGCGGCAAGUCAGACAGCUAUGGCUCGUCAAACUAAAAAUAAAUAUUAGGAGAGAAAAGCACCUCCCUGCAAUUCUGACUUCUGGGAUAAAAUUACCAAGAUGGCUGCGUUAUCUAUUUAGGCAAGACACAGAGACUUCACAAAGGCAGCCAGCAAGGAUAUAGGGCAUGAAAGGGGAGGAGAGAACAGAGCAGCCAAUGAGAAGUUUACGACAGGGACUUGGAACACAGGGAUGCUGAAGUUUUUUUUUUUUCUCUUUCUUUUAGUGUUUCUUCCUGGUGCUUAACCCUCUCAGAACACACAGAAGACCCUGCUGCUUGUGAAAGUGCCGGGACACAGAGUUCAAGGUUGAAAAAGAUCAUGGAGAAUCCCCCUAAGAAAAAACGACCUGCUCCCAGGCUAGCGAGGACUACCUAGAAAAAACGGGAAGUGAAACCUAGUUGAGCCCAGUUAGAACCUUAUUUAUUCUUUCUAACUGUCCACGUGAGGUCAAAAGGGGACUUGGCAAUGCGGCUCUGCAAGAAGACUGAGAGUAAAAACACCCAGAGAGAGCAAUAAAUGACCCCCCGGAGGAUUUAAGGGUUUUGAGUGACCCCCACCCCGUGCGCCCGAAAUCCAGCUUGGUGUUGCUGAUGCUGACAUUCUUAGGGGAGUGAGAGACAAUAGCAAAGGUUUGGGGAGUCCCCAGAUAGGUCAGCAGGGAAGGGGGGCGCCUUUGAGAAGGCUAGUUUGGAAGCACUUUUUUUAACUCUUUGUGUACCAGUUGGAGGACACCCCCACCCCCACUGCAUGCCAACCCGGCAAAGAAAACAAAGUCUACCUUGGUCUCUUAGCAUAAGUCAUCCCGGGAAGCGCUUUUCUUUUGACAGAAGGGAGCUGAUUUGCUAGUUGGUAGACCAGGGGAGAGGAGAAAUGCAAACAUCUUUUAAAAGGUCUGGGGCAUUUGUGGGUAGGGAGUUAUGGAGAAAUAAAUAAAUAAAACAGAAGUUGAAGGUUUGCAAGCCUGUGGAUCCCUCUCCAUCCCACGACUGGAAAGGCAGUGGAAGGGACGAAGGACAGAACGGAAACGAAGCGAUCAGGACCCGGGGACUGGGAGAGGAAAGGGCGAACGCCUAAGGCUGCUGUGGAUCUGAGGAGCUCCGGGCCAACCUUAGACUCGGGGAUGGAAAAGUCGAAAACCACGGAAACUGUACUUACUUUCGGAGGGGAGGUGGGACGGCAUGUCGAUUUUAUAAACCUCCUUGGCGUAGUACUCCUCGUCGCUCCGCUCGCGCUCGCAGGCGGCUGCCCUCCGGCUUGCCUUCUCCUGCAGUAAGUCCCUGGUACUGUUGUAGAUGGAAAUCACCUCCGGGGGGACCUCAUCCGGCUCCGGAUAGUCUUCCGGGGGGCUGGUGAGCUUCAGCUUGCUCAGGAUCUGCCCGCGGAUGGCCUCGAUCCUCUUGCGCAUAAACUGAUCCAUGUCGAGGGUGCUGCAGGUAGACAGACUGAGCGCCACCGGGACCAGAUGCAGGAGCAAAAAGGUGCUCAGCACACAGUAGUGCAUGUUUUUAAAAGGAAGAAACGUUGAUGUUGUUAUUUAAAGUAAGAAAAAAUAUAUAUAAAAAAGAAACUAGUAAUUCUCAGAGCGGUCAGGUAGAGUUGUUUUUAAUACGAAACUUUUGCAAAGCAGUCGAAAGUUAAUGCCCAAUAGAAAAACGUCCCUGGCUGGGAUUCCUUUAAAAAAGAAAAUGCAACGCGUUCCCAACGUGGAGAUAUUAAUAUGCGAUGCUGGGGCGGGGUGGGGGGGGAAUCUCUCACUUUAAGGAGUAAGAAAGGUUUGUUUUUUUUUUCUCCUGGAAGGGAGAGGGUGAGUGGCUCUGAAGUAGAAAUAAACUUAAGAGGAAGAAAUGGAGUUCAGUGUGUCAGGCUCGGUGCGGAGUGGCUGAUCUGAACUCCGAUCCUCCGGCCAAAAGGGACGAGACGAGAAGGUCCGGGGGCUGGCAGGAGGCACGCAGGGCCGCGGGGAGCGCUGAGCGGCGGCCGGGGCUGCGCCGGGCUCUAACUGAGAAGUUCAAAGACCGAGCGGCUCGGCCCUGCCUUCCACACGUGUGUGGAUGAGUGUGCGUGUGGAUGUGUGCGCGUGUGCGCGCGUGCGUGCGCGCGCGCCGAGGGCGAGCCUGGCGAGCCGCGGGGAGGCAGAUGCGCCCCGGAGCGGCUCACUCGGAGACUCGGUGGGAUACUGUCCGCCCCGGAGAUCCACAGAGGCCGGAGCAGGCGGCGAGGAUCCCGCUCCUGCCGGCCGCGCUGUGGCCUACACCCGGCUGGGUCGCUCCACGUUGCAGCCGCCGCUGCUGCCUGCAAAGAGGGCCAGCCUCCAGCUCGGUCCUUCAGAUCCUCCUUUUCUUGCUCCAGGCGGCCAAGGGCGACAGCGAUCGGCCACCUCCUUAACCCCUGUGGAACAACACCGCCUCCUGGGCGCGUUGGCUGCGGGCUGCCCCGGGACUCGCACCCUUCCCUAGCUUCUCCUAGCUUCCACCAAGGUUGCACUUUCUCGCUUAGGGUAAGUAGGUACUUGCGACCCUAAAAUAGACCUCUGCCGAUCCUUCUCUCCGCAGAUGGGUUGCUCCAGAAUGGCUCUUUAAACCCUAAUACUUCUCUCCAUCCCUGACGCCUGCCCCAGAGCUCAGCUCUCAGCGCCUUCUCUCUUUCUCUCCCACUCGCUCUCCUGCCGGCAGUUUCAGCAGCUCUGCUCCGAGCAAACCUGCUGCCAGCAGAUAACAUCACGAUUCUGCCCGGAGCAGAGUUUUAUAUGUGCUCCCCAAACCACGUGUUUGCCUUCAACAAAGUGACGCGCUAGGAUUACAGUCAGAAGUCCUCUGUUACUAAGACCACGAGCUCUGGACCAUUGGAGGGGGUGUGGAAAAGGGGGACGGCCAGUAAGGGAGGGCGACUGGCAUGAGGAAUUUGCAGUAGUCACUGUCUGUGAUCACCAAGGGUCUGUGUGUGGAGGGGCAGGCAGCUAAGCAUCCCGUUUCUACAUGGUGGGGAUCACUCAUUCGCAGCUUCCCUGAGUCCCUCCUGUGUUGAGUGCGUGCCCAUGCAUGUACAGGCGUGUACACACACACACACACACACACACACACACACACACACACACACACACACACACACACACUGUGCUCCAUGGAGCUCCAGCCCAGCCCUGAAGACAUGCCUUCCAAUCUGAGACUGCUGACCUAACUCUUGAGUUCUCCGGGAUUCCACAGGUUGUUUUUCAUUAGCCUGUUUACAAUCCAGCCCUGUUUGCCUGUGAACCAGCAGAAUACAGAAGUGUCCCUUUCACCCAAUGCAUGCUCUGUAUCACUGCUUUGAAUAAAGGAACUGUUGCCUUCUUUA